AGGACGAACGCUGGCGGCGUGCCUAACACAUGCAAGUGGAGCGACGAACCAGGCUUCGGCCUGGGGCAAAGCCGCGAACGGGUGAGUAACACGUGAGCAACCUGCCCUUAGCUCCGGGAUAGCUCCGGGAAACCGAUUAAUACCGGAUACGACCACGGCCGACAUCUGCUGUGGUGGAAAGGAUUCCGGCUAAGGAUGGGCUCGCGGCCUAUCAGCUAGUUGGUGGAGUAACGGCCCACCAAGGCGACGACGGGUA
rnacentral:rRNA from 1 species